UGUCGUGGGGGAUAACGUAGCGAAAGCUACGCUAAUACCGCAUACGCCCUGAGGGGGAAAGCGGGGGAUUCUUCGGAACCUCGCGCGAUUGGAGCGGCCGAUGUCGGAUUAGCUAGUAGGUGAGGUAAAGGCUCACCUAGGCGACGAUCCGUAGCGGGUCUGAGAGGAUGAUCCGCCACACUGGGACUGAGACACGGCCCAUACUCCUACGGGAGACAGCAGUGGGGAAUUUUGGACAAUGGGCGCAAGCCUGAUCCAGCCAUGCCGCGUGAGUGAAGAAGGCCUUCGGGUUGUAAAGCUCUUUCGGCCGGGAAGAAAUCGUGGUCUCUAACAUAGGCCAUGGAUGACGGUACCGGACUAAGAAGCACCGGCUAACUACGUGCCAGCAGCCGCGGUAAUACGUAGGGUGCGAGCGUUAAUCGGAAUUACUGGGCGUAAAGCGUGCGCAGGCGGUUUUGUAAGACAGAUGUGAAAUCCCCGGGCUUAACCUGGGAACUGCGUUUGUGACUGCAAGGCUAGAGUACGGCAGAGGGGGGUGGAAUUCCUGGUGUAGCAGUGAAAUGCGUAGAGAUCAGGAGGAACACCGAUGGCGAAGGCAGCCCCCUGGGCCUGUACUGACGCUCAUGCACGAAAGCGUGGGGAGCAAACAGGAUUAGAUACCCUGGUAGUCCACGCCCUAAACGAUGUCGACUAGUCGUUCGGAGCAGCAAUGCACUGAGUGACGCAGCUAACGCGUGAAGUCGACCGCCUGGGGAGUACGGCCGCAAGGUUAAAACUCAAAGGAAUUGACGGGGACCCGCACAAGCGGUGGAUGAUGUGGAUUAAUUCGAUGCAACGCGAAAAACCUUACCUACCCUUGAC
rnacentral:rRNA from 1 species